AUUGAACGCUGGCGGCAUGCCUUACACAUGCAAGUCGAACGGCAGCACGGGAGCAAUCCUGGUGGCGAGUGGCGAACGGGUGAGUAAUAUAUCGGAACGUGCCCAGUCGUGGGGGAUAACGUAGCGAAAGCUACGCUAAUACCGCAUACGAUCUAUGGAUGAAAGCGGGGGAUCGCAAGACCUCGCGCGAUUGGAGCGGCCGAUAUCAGAUUAGGUAGUUGGUGGGGUAAAGGCUCACCAAGCCGACGAUCUGUAGCUGGUCUGAGAGGACGACCAGCGCCACUGGGACUGAGACACGGCCCAGACUCCUACGGGAGGCAGCAGUGGGGAAUUUUGGACAAUGGGCGCAAGCCUGAUCCAGCAAUGCCGCGUGCAGGAUGAAGGCCUUCGGGUUGUAAACUGCUUUUGUACGGAGCGAAAAGGCUUCCACUAAUACUGGGGGCUCAUGACGGUACCGUAAGAAUAAGCACCGGCUAACUACGUGCCAGCAGCCGCCGUAAAAC
rnacentral:rRNA from 1 species